CGGGACGGGUGAGUAACGCGUGGGUAACCUGCCUCAUACAGGGGGAUAGCAGUUAGAAAUGGCUGCUAAUACCGCAUAAGACCACAGUACUGCAUGGUACAGUGGUAAAAACUCCGGUGGUAUGAGAUGGACCCGCGUCUGAUUAGCCAGUUGGCGGGGUAACGGCCCACCAAAGCGACGAUCAGUAGCCGGCCUGAGAGGGUGAACGGCCACAUUGGGACUGAGACACGGCCCAA
rnacentral:rRNA from 1 species